AAAAAUUUAGUUUAAAAAAAACAUUAAUUUGUCAAAUUAAAAAUAUUUAACUAAUAAUUUUUA
rnacentral:tRNA from 1 species